rnacentral:rRNA from 1 species
UACGUAGGGGGCGAGCGUUGUCCGGAUUUAUUGGGCGUAAAGCGUCCGCAGGCGGUGUGGCAAGUUCGAGGUGACAGUGCGCGGCUUCACUGCGCAAGGUCCUCGAAAACUGCCAGACUUGAGGGCUUCAGAGGGACCUGGAAUUCCGGGUGGAGUGGUGAAAUGCGCAGAUAUCAGGAGGAACACCAAUGGCGAAGGCAGCUCGCUGGGACGUGACUGACGCUGAGACGCGAAAGCGUGGGGAGCAAACAGG